rnacentral:lncRNA from 1 species
CCACCAACCUGGCCUGUUUAUUUGCUUUUGAGCAGCAAGCAGCUGGACCCCUCACCUUUUAGUAACAUUACCUCUUUGCCGGGCAGAAAGCUGGAUUUCCCUGAAUCCUCUUCUCUCUUCUAACCCUGAAGCUGGGUUAGAGUUCACCAAUGAGGACAGAUCAGAAAGAAGAGGUGGGGCCAUUAUUUACUCUCUAAGGAGGUGCUU